UGAAGCUGCCAGCAUGAUCUAACAACGGCAUUGCUCCUCCGUGUAGCGCCCUGUGCUUGCUUUUGCUUGUCUCCAUGGAGAAGACAGCGGCAAAGCUUAGCUUUGCUUCGCUUAGCUUGCUGGCUUUUCGUAUGGGCUGGCGGCGGGUUGCUGCGUGAAGCUUGCAAGUGAUGGUUAGAUCAUGCUGUGACAGUUUCA
rnacentral:pre_miRNA from 1 species